UACGUAGGGUGCGAGCGUUGUCCGGAUUUAUUGGGCGUAAAGAGCUCGUAGGCGGUUUGUCGCGUCGGCCGUGAAAUCUCCACGCUUAACGUGGAGCGUGCGGUCGAUACGGGCAGACUUGAGUUCGGUAGGGGAGACUGGAAUUCCUGGUGUAGCGGUGAAAUGCGCAGAUAUCAGGAGGAACACCGGUGGCGAAGGCGGGUCUCUGGGCCGAUACUGACGCUGAGGAGCGAAAGCGUGGGUAGCAAACAGG
rnacentral:rRNA from 1 species